rnacentral:rRNA from 1 species
UUCUUCGGAUGAAGGUCUGGUGACUGAGUGGCGGACGGGUGAGUAACGCGUGGGUAACCUGCCCUGUACAGGGGGAUAACAGCUGGAAGCGGCUGCUAAUACCGCAUAAGCGCACGAGGAGACAUCUCCUUGUGUGAAAAACUCCGGUGGUACAGGAUGGGCCCGCGUCUGAUUAGCUGGUUGGCAGGGUAACGGCCUACCAAGGCGACGAUCAGUAGCCGGACUGAGAGGUUGAACGGCCACAUUGGGACUGAGAUACGGCCCAGACUCC